AUUGAACGCUGGCGGCAGGCCUAACACAUGCAAGUCGAACGAGCGGCGGACGGGUGAGUAAUGUAUGGGGAACUGCCCGAUAGAGGGGGAUAACUACUGGAAACGGUGGCUAAUACCGCAUACUAUCGGAUGAACCCAAAUUGGAUUAGCUAGUAGGUGGGGUAAUGGCUCACCUAGGCGACGAUCACUAGCUGGUCUGAGAGGAUGACCAGCCACACUGGAACUGAGACACGGCCCAGACUCCUACGGGAGGCAGCAGUGGGGAAUAUUGCACAUUGGGCGCAAGCCUGAUGCAGCCAUGCCGCGUGUAUGAAGAAGGCCUUCGGGUUGUAAAGUACUUUCAGCGGGGAGGCGUUACCCGCAGAAGAAGCACCGGCUAACUCCGUGCCAGCAGCCGCGGUAAUAC
rnacentral:rRNA from 1 species